rnacentral:rRNA from 1 species
CAGUCGAACGAUGAAGACCGUGCUUGCACGGUUGGAUUAGUGGCGAACGGGUGAGUAUCACGUGAGUAACCUUCCCUUAACUCUGGGAUAAGCCCGGGAAACUGGGUCUAAUACCGGAUACGACCAGUCCUCGCAUGGGGUGCUGGUGGAAAGAUUUAUCGGUUUUGGAUGGACUCGCGGCCUAUCAGCUUGUUGGUGAGGUAAAGGCUCACCAAGGCGAUGACGGGUAGCCGGCCUGAGAGGGUGACCGGCCACACUGGGACUGAGACACGGCCCAGACUCCUACGGGAGGCAGCAGUGGGGAAUAUUGCACAAUGGGCGAAAGCCUGAUGCAGCGACGCCGCGUGCGGGAUGACGGCCUUCGGGUUGUAAACCGCUUUCAGCAGGGAAGAAGCGAAAGUGACGGUACCUGCAGAAGAAGCGCCGGCUAACUACGUGCCAGCAGCCGCGGUAAUACGUAGGGCGCGAGCGUUAUCCGGAAUUAUUGGGCGUAAAGAGCUCGUAGGCGGUUUGUCACGUCUGCUGUGAAAGCCCGGGGCUCAACCCCGGGUGUGCAGUGGGUACGGGCAGACUAGAGUGCAGUAGGGGAGACUGGAAUUCCUGGUGUAGCGGUGAAAUGCGCAGAUAUCAGGAGGAACACCGAUGGCGAAGGCAGGUCUCUGGGCUGUUACUGACGCUGAGGAGC